GUGGGGAAUCUUGCGCAAUGGGCGAAAGCCUGACGCAGCCAUGCCGCGUGAAUGAUGAAGGUCUUAGGAUUGUAAAAUUCUUUCACCGGGGACGAUAAUGACGGUACCCGGAGAAGAAGCCCCGGCUAACUUCGUGCCAGCAGCCGCGGUAAUACGAAGGGGGCUAGCGUUGCUCGGAAUUACUGGGCGUAAAGGGCGCGUAGGCGGACAGUUUAGUCAGAGGUGAAAGCCCAGGGCUCAACCUUGGAAUUGUCUUUGAUACUGGCUGUCUUGAGUACGGGAGAGGUGAGUGGAACUCCGAGUGUAGAGGUGAAAUUCGUAGAUAUUCGGAAGAACACCAGUGGCGAAGGCGACUCACUGGCCCGUUACUGACGCUGAGGCGCGAAAGCGUGGGGAGCAAACAGGAUUAGAUACCCCAGUAGUCC
rnacentral:rRNA from 1 species